CUCUCUCUCUCUCUCUCUCUCUCUCUCUUCUCGUUGGGGAGAUCGGGUGGCGGUUGCGGGGGAUUCCGGCGAUGUGAUGAGAUUCCGGCGGACUUGCGUCAGAUUUCCGGCAAUGUCGAUGGCAGGGAGGAGCAGACGAGCCGUGCUGUGUUUGGCCGUCGUCCUUUUGAGCGUUUGGCUUCUAGACGGGUGGGCGUGCUUCAACUGUCGGGCGGCGGCAAUUCGGAUAUUUCCGACGAACUCAGGGGCUAAACGUACGGGAGCGCCGCUCAUUGGGCGGAGGCCUGUCCCUCUCCGCCCCUCCGCGGCAGCGGCGGCGGCGGGUGGUUUUGAUGACAGCAAGCGAAGGGUGCCGAGCUGCCCCGAUCCACUCCAUAACCGAUGAUGAAGGGGGAAAAGGAGGCGGCUUUGUAUCAGUAGAAUCUCCUGCGAUUUGUUAUUAAAUUUGUUCUUAAAUCAAUGCCGUUACCUUUACUAGAAAUGUAACUAAGAGGGGAGAUUCUUGGCAUACAGAGUCUUGUUUUAGGUCUGAGAAAAAUAACUGCCGGAAAAUAAAAUUAUAUAUUUUGUUCCA